rnacentral:rRNA from 1 species
AACGAACGCUGGCGGCAGGCUUAACACAUGCAAGUCGAACGGGUGCAGCAAUGCAUCAGUGGCAGACGGGUGAGUAACACGUGGGAACCUUCCUAGGGGUACGGAACAACUCAGGGAAACUUGAGCUAAUACCGUAUACGUCCGUGAGGAGAAAGAUUCAUCGCCCCUAGACGGGCCCGCGUCGGAUUAGGUAGUUGGUGGGGUAACGGCCUACCAAGCCUACGAUCCGUAGCUGANCUGAGAGGAUGAUCAGCCACACUGGGACUGAGACACGGCCCAGACUCCUACGGGAGGCAGCAGUGGGGAAUCUUGGACAAUGGCGCAAGCCUGAUCCAGCCAUGCCGCGUGAGUGAAGAAGGCCUC